UACGUAGGUGGCGAGCGUUGUCCGGAUUUACUGGGCGUAAAGAGCGCGCAGGCGGUCUUGCAAGUCGCGUGUGAAAGCCCCCGGCUCAACUGGGGAGGGUCACGCGAUACUGCUCGACUCGAAGGCAGGAGAGGGAAGUGGAAUUCCCGGUGUAGUGGUGAAAUGCGUAGAUAUCGGGAGGAACACCAGUGGCGAAGGCGACUUCCUGGCCUGUUCUUGACGCUGAGGCGCGAAAGCUAGGGUAGCAAACGGG
rnacentral:rRNA from 1 species